rnacentral:rRNA from 1 species
CUUGGAAAAGAGAAGAUCAAAAAGCUUCUUCAAGAAGCUUUCUUGAUGGAGGGGAGCGGCAGACGGGUGAGUAACACGUGGGAAUCUACCCAUCCCUGCGGAACAACUCCGGGAAACUGGAGCUAAUACCGCAUACGCCCUACGGGGGAAAGAUUUAUCGGGGAUGGAUGAGCCCGCGUUGGAUUAGCUAGUUGGUGGGGUAAAGGCCUACCAAGGCGACGAUCCAUAGCUGGUCUGAGAGGAUGAUCAGCCACAUUGGGACUGAGACACGGCCCAAACUCCUACGGGAGGCAGCAGUGGGGAAUAUUGGACAAUGGGCGCAAGCCUGAUCCAGCCAUGCCGCGUGAGUGAUGAAGGCCUUAGGGUUGUAAAGCUCUUUCACCGAUGAAGAUAAUGACGGUAGUCGGAGAAGAAGCCCCGGCUAACUUCGUGCCAGCAGCCGCGGUAAGAC